rnacentral:piRNA from 1 species
UGAAUUACAGAUAAACCNCUAGACAUGCC